rnacentral:rRNA from 1 species
GACGAACGCUGGCGGCGUGCUUAACACAUGCAAGUCGAGCGGAAAGGCUCCUUCGGGGGUACUCGAGCGGCGAACGGGUGAGUAACACGUGAGUAAUCUGCCCUUGGCUGCGGGAUAGCCACCGGAAACGGUGAUUAAUACCGGAUACGACCAUUCCACGCAUGCGGUGGUGGUGGAAAGUGUUUCGGCCAGGGAUGUGCUCGCGGCCUAUCAGCUUGAUGGUGAGGUAAUGGCUCACCAUGGCUUAGACGGGUAGCCGGCCUGAGAGGGUGACCGGUCACACUGGGACUGAGACACGGCCCAGACUCCUACGGGAGGCAGCAGUGGGGAAUAUUGGACAAUGGGCGGAAGCCUGAUCCAGCAACGCCGCGUGAGGGAUGACGGCCUUCGGGUUGUAAACCUCUUUCAGCAGGGACGAAGCGCAAGUGACGGUACCUGCAGAAGAAGCACCGGCCAACUACGUGCCAGCCGCCGCGGUAAAAC